GACGAACGCUGGCGGCGUGCUUAACACAUGCAAGUCGAACGGAAAGGCCCUGCUUUUGUGGGGUGCUCGAGUGGCGAACGGGUGAGUAACACGUGAGUAACCUGCCCUUGACUUUGGGAUAACUUCAGGAAACUGGGGCUAAUACCGGAUAGGAGCUCCUGCUGCAUGGUGGGGGUUGGAAAGUUUCGGCGGUUGGGGAUGGACUCGCGGCUUAUCAGCUUGUUGGUGGGGUAGUGGCUUACCAAGGCUUUGACGGGUAGCCGGCCUGAGAGGGUGACCGGCCACAUUGGGACUGAGAUACGGACCAGACUCCUACGGGAGGCAGCAGUGGGGAGUAUUGCACAAUGGGCCGAAGCCUGAUGCAGCAACGCCGCGUGCGGGAUGACGGCCUUCGGGUUGUAAACCGCUUUCGCCUGUGACGAAGCGUGAGUGACGGUAAUGGGUAAAGAAGCACCGGCUAACUACGUG
rnacentral:rRNA from 1 species